rnacentral:rRNA from 1 species
CUGAGUACGGCGGAACACGUGAAAUUCCGUCGGAAUCCGGGAGGACCAUCUCCCAAGGCUAAAUACUCCCUAGUGACCGAUAGUGAACCAGUACCGUGAGGGAAAGGUGAAAAGCACCCCGGAAGGGGAGUGAAACAGUUCCUGAAACCGUGUGCCUACAAGUAGUUAGAGCCCGUUAAUGGGUGAUAGCGUGCCUUUUGUAGAAUGAACCGGCGAGUUACGAUUUGUUGCAAGGUUAAGCGGAAAAAGCGGAGCCGUAGCGAAAGCGAGUCUGAAUAGGGCGCAUAAGUAACAGGUCGUAGACCCGAAACCAGGUGAUCUACCCAUGUCCAGGAUGAAGGUAAGGUAAUACUUACUGGAGGUCCGAACCCACGCACGUUGAAAAGUGCGGGGAUGAGGUGUGGGUAGCGGAGAAAUUCCAAUCGAACUUGGAGAUAGCUGGUUCUCUCCGAAAUAGCUUUAGGGCUAGCCUCGAGGUAAAGAGUCAUGGAGGUAGAGCACUGUUUGGACUAGGGGCCCUUCUCGGGUUACCGAAUUCAGAUAAACUCCGAAUGCCAUGUACUUAUACUCGGGAGUCAGACUGCGAGUGAUAAGAUCCGUAGUCGAAAGGGAAACAGCCCAGACCACCAGUUAAGGUCCCCAAAUAUAUGUUAAGUGGAAAAGGAUG